GAUGAAGAACGCAGCGAAAUGCGAUACGUAAUGUGAAUUGCAGAAUUCAGUGAAUCAUCGAGUCUUUGAACGCACAUUGCGCCCCCUGGUAUUCCGGGGGGCAUGCCUGUCCGAGCGUCAUUGCUGCCCUCAAGCACGGCUUGUGUGUUGGGCCUCCGUCCUCCUCCCGGGGGACGGGCCCGAAAGGCAGCGGCGGCACCGCGUCCGGUCCUCAAGCGUAUGGGGCUUCGUCACCCGCUCUUGUAGGCCCGGCCGGCGCUUGCCGACACAUCAAUCUUUUUUCCAGGUUGACCUCGGAUCAGGUAGGGAUACCCGCUGAACUUAAGCAUAUCAAUAAGCGGAGGA
rnacentral:misc_RNA from 1 species